rnacentral:lncRNA from 1 species
UCCGAAACCCUCCGUUAGUUCCGCCCUAAACCACCGUCUGUCGCCCGCCGAAAAUCGCCCACGGCGGCGGCCGGUGUCCAAACCCUACCAAAUUUACUCCCCUAACUCCUCUCCACAUCCCCAUUCCAAAACCCUAAAUCGUUUCGCUCAAAUCCCAGCCCUGUUUCUCGAAUCUUCGAUUAAACAUCAAACCAAAACUUGAUUUUUCCCAAAUGGCCCUAGAUUAUCACCACAUAGCCACUACGACCCCCUCAUGUCGUAUCCUCACUCCGUUUCCCUCGAAUCUUGCCGGAGCUUCUCGAAUCUUAGAUCUGGGUUCGAGCCUUGAAAGUUCAAAAGCCCUUUUCUAUCGGACUUGGUGCAUGCAUGGUCAGAAUGGUUGUUCUUCGAGUUUAGCUGGAGAUUUUCCUCUCAUUUUUAGGUCUGUUUCUGUUUCCAUGUUUCACUUUGUGUCCCUCUCUUCUUUCUUUCUUUUCUUUCUUUCCUUAUUUGAAGUUUGGCCGAAGUUUUGGUCGAGUUUGAGGUUUGUCCGUCUGGUCUUCGCUAGUUCUUUUUGUUUUCCCAAGCCUGAUCUCUGGUCCUGAUUGAUUUGCUCAGUUUCUUCUGAUUAAAUAGCAUGAUUAUUAUUCUAGUUAGUCACCUAGUCAAAUAAGCCUAUAACUUAGUUAAAUUCCUACUGCAUGUGUAGGUUAAUUAGUUCAUCCAAUUUCUUUUGUUAUUUUGAUUGCAUUUUAAGGUUUUCAGGCCUCCUUUUCGGGGAAUUUUGAUUAGUUUUUCAAAUUUGUGGCUUUUGAAAUUAUGAAUCUCGGAUUGUGAGUUGGGCUGUGAAAGAUCAAAAUCCAGUGUGGGGAUUUAAGCCGGGAUUGACAGGCCCAGUUUUAGAAUUUGGACUUUGUCCUGCAGUAAUAACAGAGGAUUUGGAGGUUAUUUUGGGUAUUCUAGGUGCAGAAUCUCUGAAUAAUUACCUAGGGAAACUUCUAGGAAGCUGGGGUCGGGGUUAGUUGUGAAUUUCUGGUUUUUAACUAGGGAUAUCUAAGCUAUAAUGAAAAUUCCAAAAGGAGCAAAAUGCAAAAAACUGAUUCCUAAGGUGUGCCUUAGUCCCUUGCCUAUAAAGGCACCCAAAACUUUCCUUUCAAGGCAGACCCAAGAGACUUGAAAGAGAUAAAAAUUCUGAAAAACAAAAAUGGCUGAGAAUGCUGAAACUGCACUGAUUUCUAACAUAUUUCUUUGAUAAAAACUGAUCAAAUUCUGUAUCAAUUGGGUAUUUCUGAUCUUCUUCAUUAAUUAAAAUCUUUGAAAGUUUCACAUCUUGCACCUGGGUUGGGAGAUGGUUUGAUUUUUUGUUUUUUCUGGGUUUAAGCUACUAUGAGGUCACUGUUGCAUUGCUACUGCUGUGCUUUUGUUCUGCUUUUAUCUACUGUUUCUUCACCUCUCUACCCUUUCCCAUUUCCAGGUAUUCUCUUGGCUAUGAUAGUUGCUGAAGUAUUGAAGCAUGCUUGGUGUAUGUGGUUGUGAUGGAAAAUGGAAAAAUUCUGCAGACCUUCUUAUGUAUCUUUGUUUCGGAAUUUCUAAGUUAUGCUUAGUUUGUAUAAUUCUCAUGGAGUGUGUUGAGUAAACACUGAGUUUGGGAAGAAUUGCAUGAAUAUUAAGAUUUAGAAUAUGCUAGCCACAUAAGCUACCCCUUGGGUUAAAUCAGUGUUUG